GACGAACGCUGGCGGCGUGCUUAACACAUGCAAGUCGAACGGUGAAGCACCUUCCUUUUGGUGGGUGUGGAUGAGUGGCGAACGGGUGAGUAACACGUGAGUAACCUGCCCCCUUCUUCUGGAUAACCGCAUGAAAGUGUGGCUAAUACGGGAUAUUCUGGGUCUGUCGCAUGGCGGGCCUGGGAAAGAUAUUGUUUCGGUGGGGGAUGGGCUCGCGGUCUAUCAGCUUGUUGGUGGGGUGAUGGCCUACCAAGGCGGUGACGGGUAGCCGGCCUGAGAGGGUGGACGGUCACACUGGGACUGAGACACGGCCCAGACUCCUACGGGAGGCAGCAGUGGGGAAUAUUGCACAAUGGGCGCAAGCCUGAUGCAGCGACGCCGCGUGAGGGAUGGAGGCCUGCGGGUUGUAAACCUCUUUCGCCAGUGAAGCAGGCCUGUCCCUUGUGUGGGUGGGUUGACGGUAGCUGGAUAAGAAGCGCCGGCUAACUACGUG
rnacentral:rRNA from 1 species